rnacentral:rRNA from 1 species
CCUACGGGUGGCAGCAGUAGAGAAUCAUUCACAAUGGGGGAAACCCGGAUGGGGCGACGCCGCGUGGGGGAAUGAAGGUCUGCGGAUUGUAAACCCCUGUCAUGUGGGAGCAAAUUAAAAAGAUAGUACCACAAGAGGAAGAGACGGCUAACUCUGUGCCAGCAGCCGCGGUAAUACAGAGGACUCAAGCGUUGUUCGGAAUCACUGGGUGUAAAGGGUGCGUAGGCUGUUUCGUAAGUCGGGUGUGAAAGGCGCGGGCUCAACCCGAGGACGGCACAUGAUACUGCGAGACUAGAGUAAUGGAGAGGGAGCCGGAAUUCGCGGUGUAGCGGUGAAAUGCGUAGAUAUCGAGAGGAACACUCGUGGCGAAGGCGGGUUCCUGGACAUUAACUGACGCUGAGGCACGAAGGCCAGGGGAGCGAAAAGGAUUAGAUACCCGAGUAGUC